CGCGUCUGCAACCUACACCACAGCUCACUGCAAUGCCGGAUUGUUAACCCAUUGAGCAAGGGCAGGGACCGAACCCACAACCCCAUGGUUCCUAGUCGGAUUCAUUAACCACUGCGCCACGACAGGAACUCCACAACAUAAUAUUUUAAAUGUCCAGGAUAUAAUCCAAAAUUGCUUGAUAUACCAACAACGAUAAAAAUCCGACCAAUUCUCAAAGGAACAAGCAAUCAGUAGAUAUCUCUUCAAACAUGAUCCAGCUGUUCUAUUAAAAAAUGAUUAAAUUGGAGUUCCUGUCAUGGCUCAGUGGUUAACAAAUCCAACUAGGAACCAUGAGGUUGCCGGUUCAGUCCCUGGCCUUGCUCAGUGAGUUAAGGAUCCAGCGUUGGCAUGAGCUGUGGUGUAGGUUGCAGACACGGCUUGGAUCCUGCAUUGCUGUGGCCCUGACGUAGGCCAGCGGCUAUAGCUCUGAUUCCACCCCUAACCUAGGAGUCUCCAUAUGCCGCAGGUGCGGCCCUAGAAAAGGCAAAAAGACAAAAAAAAAAAAAUUAAAUUGAAAUCUUAGCAUUGAAAAAUACAAUAAGUGAAGUAAAAACUCAUUAGAUGAGCUCAAUAGCAGAACAGGGAUGAGAGAGGAAAGAGCAAAUGGAUGUGAAGCGAGAGCAAUAGGAGUUAUCCAAACUGAAGAGCCAAAGAAAAAGCGACCAAAAACAAACAUGAUUAGUCUCAGGAACUUGUGGGACAACAUGAAAAGGUCUCAUAUCUGUGUCACCAAAGUCCCUAAAGCAGAGGCAAAGCUAUUCGUGUGGAAAGGACAGUUAUAGAAAUAAUGCCUUUAAAUGUCUUAAGUUUGGUGAAAGACAAAUUUAUAGAUACCAACAACUCAGCAAACUCUAAAGAGGAGGUAUGUAAUAAUAAAAUUCCUGAAAACCAAGCAUGCACACAGGGCUAUUGGGGUGAGAAUGACAUAUUAGAGAUACCAGAACAUCAUUUUCAAGAACUAUAAGUUUCUCAUCAGGAAAUGAUUGAGGCCAUUGCCUAUGUUAGAGUAAAUAUUGUGAGCUGGGGGCAUGUAGUCACAAUCACCACAAAGCAAAGGAAAAGCAUUGGUGGUAAUGAAUUGGGCUGCUCCCUUUCAUGAUCACAGGGGGUGCCUUUGAAGAGGGGGUGCUCAAGGGCUGAGGGCAUGUUGGGGACAACAGGGACUGAAUCACCCUCUGUGAGCAGAGGGCAGAGGACGUCUGGGAGUUUCCACCUGCAGGUUUGGAACCCUGCAAGUACACAACAGUGAGUAUGCCACAACAAAUUAUAGCAAAGAAACAAACAAACAAUUGAGACCAGAAGGCAGUUAAACAGUAUUUUUAAAGUUUCCCAAGAAAAAGACCUAUCAACCUAAAAUUCUGCCUCUAGUGAAAUUAUCUUUGAGGGAUGAAGGUAAAAGAAAGGCAUUUCCCAAGUGGAAAACAUAGAAUUUGUCACCAGUAGACCUGCUCUACAAAGAAAUGCUAAAGACAUUUAUUUAGGCUGAAGGGAAAUGACACCAGAGUUUCCUUGAAAUUUCAGAAAUGAAGAAAGAGAAACAGAAAAGGAGGAUAUCUGUGUAAAUACGGUAGAUUAUUUUUCUUAUCUUAAUUUAUUUAAAAUAUACUUGUUGAAAUAUACACACCACACACACACACACACACACACACAUAUAAUUUCAGUAUAAUACAGUAAAGAAACGUAGGUUUUAGAUUCAGGCUGAUCUGAGUAUCCAGUUACUUAAACUUAUGAACCUAUAAACUAUGGAUAUUUCUGAACCUUCACUUCUCUAAAAUAGGAAAGUAUGUGUCCAUCCUUUAGAGCUCUUGGAAGAAAUACUAAUAAUGAAUGUGAAAUGUGUAGCACAUCACAAAAGACCGAUGAAUGACAUUUAUUUUGUGGUACCUUUUACUGUUGUCGUUAAAAUUGCAUUAACACGACACAGCAAGUGGUACUAUAUUUAGUAAGAGGAAAGUGAAUUCCUUUCCCCAGAGAGCCUCACAUACUGUUUAUGUGCCGCUGACAUUAGGAAAUCCCUUUAGAUUAUGGUUUACAGUACAAAAGUUGUGUUUGACAAUCCAUAAAGUCCCACAGAGCAUUCAUGCUGCCUUCCACGGGAAGCCUCCCCAUCUACUAAGAAGGCACUGGCUAUGUUUUACACCACCUGCCUCCCAAAUACCCAAAUUCCAAACAAACAGGGUCAGAGACCAGACACAAAGAACCAGAACACGGUAGCCUCUGAAGUGGGGCAAAGACUCACUGAGCUAAUCAGUGCCACCCCCUGAGAACAGGAACACUGGGGAAGUGAGGGGAUGUUGGGUAGAGCUGAAGCCACAAGGAAGCAAUGGUAGCUGAUCCAGAGGAACCUGGACCGUGCACAAUCAGAGGUGGGAAUUAGGACUCAGGCCACAGAGAGGGCAGAAAAAGCAGAGGAGGCUCUCUGCACAGAGAGAAGCAGAGGGACGGCAAGAAAGAGAAAAACCAAGUGAGGGGGAGCGAGAAUAGAGAACCAGACAGAAAUGGGGGAUAAAGUUUCCCCGGAACUUAAAUCCUCGGACCUGCUAUUUCCCGCCCUUGGUUUACUUCAGCUAAGCAGCCCAACUUUUCAUUCUGAAUCCCAGGUAAAAGGCAGGAGCAACAGAUGUGUAUUGAAGGGACGGGAAACCUGGCCAUCUGAAUGUUGUGACCACACAGACAUGGCUUCCAAGUGCAAUCCCUUACUGUAGUCACCACAUGCUUUAUUUUCUGCCUGUGCUUCAACAUUUAAAAAGUGCACAACUUCAAGCCUAUUUCAAAAUUUCUUGGAACUUCCUGUUUCCUAGCUAAUUAUAUUACCUAGUUUGCAUAUGUGGCACACUUUGAUUCCAGAAUUGAAAUGUUCAGUUGUAAUGAAGGCUCGUUUCCUGGAACUGGGUAGUUGUUUCACUGUCUCAAGUGAAACCAAGACAAUCAGAUUUUUCAGCACAAAAUGAACUAAGAACACAUGCGUUGAGAGUCAAACAUGAUUCUGGGGCCCCUCCACUUACUGUGUGACUCUGAUAGACCAGUUUUCUAAUAGAGAAAACACUAUCCUUUAUAUAAGGUUAUAGGAAAGCUAGAGAACAUACAUGAAAAGUAAUACAUGUACCAAGGACUCAAAUAUAGUUGCUAUUACUGUUAUUUUUACACACUUUGUAAUAAAAUGCUCUUGUCAAUAAUAUAGUUGACAAAAGAUAUCUAUUAAUCUUAUGGAUCUAGGAUGCAGAGAAGCUCUUAGUUCUAGUAGGUAGACACCUUUAAAAUUUUAAAGGAUGUUCUUGUUUGGCUAGUUCUUAUAAUAUUGUUUAAGAUGCCUAGAUUUUGAAUGUAUCUCUGAGAAUACUUAAUUCGUUUUCUUGUUCUUAAUAGGAGCCCAUAAAAACUGCAAAGAUUUGUCUUUGAAAGCUCUGGGCUGUGCCAAGUGAAAACGUCUCUAAAAAUCGAUUUCUAUCAUUAAAUACAAUUCAAAGCUUAACUUAAACAAUAUUGAAUUUCUAUUAAUUCCUUAGAACAUCAAGCAAGAUUUACAAUGUAAACAGAUUUACAUGUAAUCUACAUCACUGCAAUUUGGAUUAAUUAAAGGAAAUCUUUAUCUGAAUCUGCAAAAGGCCAGAGGUAACUACUGUUUUCAAAGAAAUGAAGUUAUGUAAUUCUAGACAUAUCUAAACACCUGACAAAGUGGUCCUUGGUCACAUGUUGUAAUGAGGAGGAGGAUGAGUAAUUAGUCUAAAAACAGAUUCUAUGGAAAUCUGUUCCCUUGGAGUACUCAGCUUACUUUCCUAAAUUGAUUAAAUUUUUACUUUUACAGUAUGACUUUCACUACCAAUUUACUUAGUAACUUCAUUCUAGUAGAACUUGAUUGAAAAUCAUUAGCCCGGAAUAUACUGAAUUGUCAUAUCAAUAUAUUCUGUGGAAGUGUAUUAUUUCCUAUUUUAACAGUAUUUCUAUAUAUAUAUAUAGCACUUUCUAGUUUUCACUUGAGGACUAUCCUGUUGUUUUUUAAUAGAGAAAAGAGACAUCAAGGCAUUAGAGAUUGUCAGGUUUGUUAAAUAAGAGUGUAUAUGGGAUGUAAAAAUAUGUUCAUGAGGUCUCAGUUCAUUCAUAAAAAGUGGAUGACAUAAAGAAUCUUAACUGCACUGCAAAUUCAAAUUUCAGAUUCAAACAGAUAUCAAAGGAUCUCAUGUUUUGGGGUGUACCCCAAAGUUCAAAUUCCAAGCAACACACAUAGGAAGUAUAGGAAGAUAUUUAUUAAGAAUGCUUCAGGUAGGAAACAUACAAAUCACCCAAAACGAGAGGAGAGUGAAAGUCCUGAGAUAAAGUGGACUAUUAAUUACGCACAUCGAUACGUGUGCAUGUGCAUGUGUGCGCGUGCACGUGUGUGUGCGCAGAUUACCACAGAUAGGAAACCAAUGGCAGAAUUGGCAUCUUUUCCAAAUUUGUCGUAAAGGUUAGAAAAAUAAAACCCUACAGAAUUUCUUUUCCACUAAGAAUGUACUGAAAUGCAUUGAAACCUUACUAGUUUAGGCGAUGCGCAAAAGCAGCUUGAAGUGUUAACUGUGGAUUAUUUUAGAAUAAGUCCAUUCCAAGUCCAUUCCAUCCAAUAACUCAAACUGGUGUCUCCCAAGAGACCUCUACACAGAGCCCUGUCAAGCUUGUCUGGUGAAUGGGCACGUUGGUGACAACCAGAAGACACUUAAUUUAGCAAACAUAUUUCAACAGCUCUCUAGGUGCCAGACCCCAAACACUGCUAGAGUAAGAAGCCUUGCCCUCGCAAGUUCAAUCCAGUGGGAGAAAAGCAAAUAAUUUAACAGUGUGUUCUGAAUGCCCUAUUGGAGGGGUACACAGAAUAUCACUAAGCCAAAUGACUCCUGCAGCGAGGCCACUAUUCGCUGAAAGGCAGUGAGGGAAGGCCUACCGUACUGGGUAGAGUUGAACUGGGUCUUGAUGUUUGCCUGGGAUUUCAGUAGGCAGAAGGCAGGAGGAAGGUGUUUGGGAGAGGAGGAGGAGGAUGGGGAGGAAGGGGAAAAGGAAUGGGAAGGAGAGGGAAAGGGAUGGGGAAGAAGGGGGAGGGGGAUGGAGGAGGGAAGGCAGCUACCUUCAGCUGCUGCCCAAGCUGAUGAUGAACCUAGGAAGGAAGUGGCGUUCUGAGCCACUCAACAGAGCUGGUACUUUACUGGACUGUCCUGGGGAUCCUCGGAAGGUCAACGAUCAGACCUUGUAGCUACGUUUGUAUCAGAACAUCACUCCUAUAACUAGAUAGAGAACAAACUAGCAGCAAAAGUGUAGAACAAGGACAACUAGUUAGGUAGUUACUACAGCAACCCUUGUAGGGGCUAAGGCUUGGCAGUUGAGAGACAGGUGAAAUCAGCUUUAGUAAUUCUCUUGAUACAGGUAGUGAGAAACCAGCAAGAAUGAUGGCUGUCCUCAUGGGUUUCAUUUUAUGCCCAGUUUGGUCUGUGAUGAUACUAACAAAGCUCAUCUUGAUUUCGUAAUAUUUUAAUUGAUACGACAAACCCUCAUUCACACACAGUAUAGAGAGGAAAGUCAAUCCAAAUGAUCACAAUUCCAAAUUCGUAGUGUUUUGAUAAAUUAUUUUGUUGUGCAUAUAAGAACGUAAAUAUUGUAUUUGCAGUUUAAAGAUAAACUUAAGUGUUAUUCAUUUUUUAAAACUUGCUAUCUUGCCUCAGACACCUCACAAAGCUAGUUCAGAAAGCUAAUCCUCUGUUUCGACACAUCCUCAAGCACACACAGUGUGAAGUGCUACAAAACGUUCUAAAUGAAGCCAAAACAAAACAUACCACCCCCUCCACCAUCCCCGGCAGCAAAUGAGGGCCUCCAGCAUAUGCUGCCUUAGCUUUAGGCAAGACGCUUCUGCUACACAGGCCAGCAAGCCUGCCCCGCAUCUCCAUACACUGCUUGUCUUGGCGAUGUCGGGCAGGUCUAAAAAUACAGUGAUGCCUGCAGCCGAGCAGAAGGCCAGGCUGCACAGAGCUCCAUGUCUGAGCUCCACAGCCGUGGAGGAGCCAAGCCAAGUCACGUGCUCUGCUCUGUCCAUUGAUUCUUUUAGGACAAAAAGAACACUGAGAGACCCGACACAGAGUUUAUUCACUUCCCUAGGGUAUGCCUGAUGGGGAAGGAGUAGCUGAGAGGCAAUGAGUGCCUUGGGAAGCAGAGGCAGGGCUCUAGCUGUCCAUGCUGGCUGUGACUUUGGGAAGGCCCUGAAGCAGGAGAAUGGGUUUGGUCACAGGGUUGAGGGCGCUCCAGGUUUGAGAGCGUACCCACUGCCAUUAGUCAUUUCCAGUUUGCUCCUCCUAACAGCACUGGGGAGGGACGGGACCAGGAAGAGGCUUGCUGGGUGCCGGACAGAGUGGCAUUGCAGGAAUGGAGGUAGAAGAGGGGCUGGCAUUCUCAAGGUCACAGUAGAGAGGAAAGCGAGGCUCCCAACAGGGAGGGGAAGGGGACAGAUCACCCCACACUUGCCAGUCUGGUAUAAGGAUUAUUUUGAGCUGGGAGCAGAUGAGACUCGAUGCAUGCAGCAAGAAACCUAGGUGUUUUCCUCAUCUGACCCUACAGAGAAACUUCGGAGAAACAAGGACUUCCAAAAGAGUUUUUUUGGCCACAGAGAAGACAGGAAGUCAGCACCACGAUGGGUCUUCCCAUAAACCUACUAAAAUAAUCCAUAUCUUCCAUCAGUUCCUGGCAUAUAUUUCUCCUAGUCACUUUCCCACCAUUAACCACCCAAUGGUCACCUUCCUUUGUCUUGUCACAUCUCCAACCAGUUUCAUUCUUUGCUAAAAUGCAAAGACUUUCCCGGGCUGAUCUGCUGCAUUGGGCUUUCACUCUCCUAUGAAAGCCUCUAUGUGCACACAUCAUCAGAUCCUUUCCUGAGAAGACUUGCUCUCCUUUAAUCAGGCCAUAAAAGGAAUAGUUUUGGAUCUCUUUAUUAUUCAUAUACUUUUUUUUUAAACAUUCAGUGUGGGCCUGUUUACCCGAAGCUUUUGGUAGGCAAUUGAAAAUAAUUACAGCAAAGUCUUGCUUAGUUAGUUUUAAGUAUUCUAUUGUAAGUAUUCUAAGCCCCCUGAGUCUUCAUUUUCAUAUCUUUCAGAUGAUUUGCCUCCACAAGUCUCUAACACCUUAGAAAAAAAAAAUUUCUCUGAGGAAUUUUAUGUCUUUUAUUACAACCUCACAUCCAGGAAUCUUUCUAAGGCAUGUGACUCAAAAGUAGUUUCUAUAUUUCUUUAUCAGAAAAGUUAGUUUAGGAAUUGCACAGCACUAAAAUGACUUGAUAGUUCCUGUUUUUAUCAUAAAACACCAACCAAAAAAAAAAAAAGAGAGAGAGAGAGAGAUUAACAUCUGAAUUGAAGUACACUCUUUCAUUCACCCAUGCUCAAACAUUGGUAGAAAAAUCUACCUUACAUCGGGCACUGGCUGGAUAAGCACAUACCAGAGAUAUGCCAUGAAAAAGUACAAUACAUGCUAUCAAGCAGUCUAACAGGAGAGAAACACACAAUCAGAUGACUAUCAGCUAUGCCAAGCACAAGGGGAAAAUUCUAGUGUAUCUACACACAAAAGUAGAGGAAGGGUACUGGACCCAGUCUCGGCGUAUUGCAGAAGGCUUCUUGGAUGAGCUGACGAUUCUUACAUGGGAGACCAGUAAGGCAGGAAAUGGAGGCAAAGAGCAGAAGGCAUGAACAGAAAAACAAGAAGCGGAGUUCCCAUUGUGGCUCAGCAGAAACAAAUCUGACUAGCAUCCACGAGGAAGCAGUUUCGAUCCCUGACCUCACUCAGUGGGUUAAGGAUCCUGCAUUGCCAUGAGCUGUGUGGUGAAGGUGGCAAAUAUGGCUCAGAUCCCAAGUUGCUGUGGCUGUGGUAUAGGCCAGCAGCUACAGCU
rnacentral:lncRNA from 1 species